CCUAGUAACGGCGAGUGAACAGGAAAAAGCUCAAAGUUGGAACCUGUUUGGCCUAGCUAAACCGGAUUGUAAACUGUAGAAGUGUUUUCCAGGCAAGCCGGACCGAUAAGUCCUUUGGAACAGGGCAUCAUAGAGGGUGAGAAUCCCGUCUUCGGUCUGAGCAUUUGCCUUUUGCGAUACACUUUCAAAGAGUCAGGUUGUUUGGGAAUGCAGCCUAAAUUGGGUGGUAAAUCUCACCUAAAGCUAAAUAUUGGCGAGAAACCGAUAGCGAACAAGUACCGUGAGGGAAAGAUGAAAAGAACUUUGAAAAGAGAGUUAAACAGUAUGUGAAAUUGUUAAAAGGGAACCGUUUGGAGCCAGACUGGCUUGUCUGUAAUCAGUCUAAGUUUCGGCUUGGAUGCACUUGCAGGCUAUGCCUGCCAACGACAAUUUGGCUUGAGGGAAAAAACUAGGGGAAAUGUGGCCCAUUCGUGGGUGUUAUAGUCCCUUAGAAAAUACCUUGGGCUGGAUUGAGGUACGCAGCGAAUGCUAUUUGGCGAGUUGGCUGGGAAUAUUUUCUGAGGCGCUCCGGCACUGAGGUUGAUAUUCCCAGUUACACUUCUAU
rnacentral:rRNA from 1 species